rnacentral:tRNA from 1 species
GCCCCCGUAGCUCAGUUGGAUAGAGCAACAGUUUUCUAAACUGUGGGUCGUAGGUUCGAAUCCUGCCGGGGGUACCA